ACUAUAUGCUCAUCCGCUAUAAGCUAGUUUAUCGGCUAUCCACUAUUUUUAAUAAGCAAAUAGCCUACUUAUAGUUUAUGACGCAAAAUUGGAUGAUGCCAUAAAAACUUAAUAGAUUUGCUUUAAUGAGAAUCCUUGUGUUGUUUGUUUGUAAGCGAGACAAGAGGACACAGACAGAAUGACUCAAAAUGGCGACAUAAUGCCUCUCUUUCGUUUACACUGUAAUGCAAUGGGAUAGAUAGAUUUGUGGGAAGAGAGAAUUUUGAAUAGAAAGUGAAACUUGGCAACGCCCUAUAAAUAGCAGUGAUGAUAUUGUCAUCAUAUACCCAUUGCCAUUGCCAUUGCUGCUACUUUCUUCCUUCUUACCGUACCACUUACCCAAACUUCCUUCCUACUUUUUUCUUCUUCAAAUCUCAAGCUUCCUCUUCAGAACAACAACGACAACAAGAAGAAUGGGUUCACUCUCUGCCUUCCAUGAUGAGGCCAUCCAAUAUCCUAUUCCUCGCAGAGACCACUCCGUCGUUGACAACUAUCACGGCAUUAACAUUUCCGACCCUUGUUCAAAAAAAAAACAUUUCCGAUCCUUACUGAUGGCUUGAAAACCCUGAUGCAACUAGUCAAAGACAAUUUGUACAAAAACAGGUUGUGUUGACGGAUUCAGUGCUCAAAACAUGCCAUUAUUUUAGAACCAAACUUGGUAGCACAGGUUUUGCUUGAUCCCAAUGUUCUCAGUGACGAUGGCACCGUUUCAAUUCUGAAAUUUAUAUUUUUUUUUAUAAUUCUGAAAUUUAUAUUGUUUUUGCUUUGGAAGUUAGCAUUAUAACUAGGUUCAAUUGAAUAACAGGAAAUGAAAGGCCAGGACAACCCUUUGAUCCCAUAAAAGUGUCCAAUUAAUUUCGUUUUUAAGCCUGUAGCUUACUUAUAGUUUAUGAUUUUUUUGAAUUUUUGACUUUGGGUAGUUUAUUUCUACUCACUUGAGUUUGGAAAAUAUAUAUGUAGCUUAAUGUCUCUUAUGGAGAAGAAAAUGCUUUGGUUUCUCAAGAUAAUAUUGUCUUCAUUCAAGGGAUAUGUCUUGUGUUGAUUGAGUUCCCCUUGGGUUCUCAUAUGAUGUCUCGUACACAAUUUACAUCACAUGCCACACCCUUAGUGUGUAUAAUUGAAUCAACCUUGUAGUGGUAAACAAUUUACAUCACUUUUGAUUUUUACUAUUGAGGUGUGACUGCUUAAGGUUUUAACUUCAGAAUAGGAGAUGAAGAAGGCCAUGGCUGUUGCAAAACACUGAGAUAGGACAUGGAGUGACACUGAUUCUUUUGGAAAAUAUGUGUGUUACACUACUGAACAGAUUCACCUUUGGAACAGGUCUGGUGUUUUUGUGAGCUUCCACUAACUUUCAAGCUUGAAUUUCUCACUCCUCUUCAAAGCUGGAAUUUGAAGUGGAAAACAAAGCUCAUGGCAUUGGAAAUAUAAACAAAUUAAGCAAGGGAACAAGAGGUCCCAGGCAGAUAAUUUUCACAGACAUACCAAUAAAUAUGAGUGAUAUGAUGCAUACUACCAAUUAAUGUUGCUUUAGUUGCAUGUACUGCCUCUCUCAAUAUUACGGAUUUAACCGAUGAUUAGUUCGUUUAGUGGUGAUCGACGUCAAAUUUAAUAGGAAGGACAUGGUUUCGACGUCAAAUUAUAUGUACAGACAUAGCAAUAAAUAUGAGUGAUAUGAUGCAUACCAAUUAAUUAAUGUUGCUUUAGUUGCAUGUACUGCCUCUCUCAAUAUUAUGGAUUUAACUGAUGAUUAAUUUUUUUUUUAUAAGAAACUAAUGAUUAAUUG